ensembl:snRNA U6 U6 spliceosomal RNA
GAGCUUGAUUUGGCAGUACUUAUACUAAAACUGGAACACGGAAGAGAAUAUUAACAUGUCCUCUUUGUAAAGAUGGAAUGCACAUUCAUGAAACAUUCCAUAUUCAU